AAUCGUAACAAGGUUUCCGUAGGUGAACCUGCGGAAGGUACAUUA
rnacentral:rRNA from 1 species